rnacentral:snRNA from 1 species
GUUGUCACGCUAAGAAAA